GGGGCCGUAGCUCAGUUUGGUUAGAGCGCUUCCCUGUCACGGAAGAGGUCGCGGGUUCGAGCCCCGUCGGUCCCGCCA
rnacentral:tRNA from 1 species